GAUGAAGAACGCAGCGAAAUGCGAUAAGUAGUGUGAAUUGCAGAAUUCAGUGAAUCAUCGAAUCUUUGAACGCACAUUGCGCCCCUUGGUAUUCCUUAGGGCAUGCCUGUUCGAGCGUCAUUUACAAAUUCAAGCUCAGCUUGGUGAUGGGCGCCUGUCUCCCGCAACGCGCAGAUUCCUCAGCUUGCUGACGAUGGGUCUUUGCAGCGUGUAGGUAGACUCGCCUAAAAAACAGUUGGCAGCCUCUACUUCAGUUCCAAACGCAGCGGAAUGGCGGAUCGUACUGCAAGAAUAGGCUCUCCAGUAAGCAAAAUUCCACAAUUUGACCUCGGAUCAGGUAGGGAUACCCGCUGAACUUAAGCAUAUCAAUAAGCGGAGGA
rnacentral:misc_RNA from 1 species